AGCGAACGCUGGCGGCAGGCCUAACACAUGCAAGUCGAACGGAUCCUUCGGGAUUAGUGGCGGACGGGUGAGUAACACGUGGGAACGUGCCCUUUGGUUCGGAACAACUCAGGGAAACUUGAGCUAAUACCGGAUGUGCCCUUCGGGGGAAAGAUUUAUCGCCAUUGGAGCGGCCCGCGUCUGAUUAGCUAGUUGGUGAGGUAAAGGCUCACCAAGGGGACGAUCAGUAGCUGGUCUGAGAGGAUGAUCAGCCACAUUGGGACUGAGACACGGCCCAAACUCCUGCGGGAGGCAGCAGUGGGGAAUCUUGCGCAAUGGGCGAAAGCCUGACGCAGCCAUGCCGCGUGAAUGAUGAAGGUCUUAGGAUUGUAAAAUUCUUUCACCGGGGACGAUAAUGACGGUACCCGGAGAAGAAGCCCCGGCUAACUUCGUGCCAGCAGCCGCAGUAACAC
rnacentral:rRNA from 1 species